CAGCAACAUCACCUUGCAAAGGUAGUUUGCACUCCACAUGAGGCAAACAACAUCUUUGUGGAAUUUCAUGCGAGUGCUAUUGGGGCUCAUUGUGGAAUUGACAAAACAAUGAGUGCAAUUCUUCAGCGUUAUUACUGGCCUGGAAUGAAAGCAGACAUCACAAAAUGGAUUGCACAGUGUGAUGCAUGUCAGAGAAAGCGGGUCUCCCUAAAGGAGAAGACUCAAUAUAAACACAUAGAGGUGUCGGAGCCAUUUGAACUUGUGGGGAUGGACCUUGUAGGGAAGUUAAAAUGCUCCAACAAUGGCCACAUGUAUAUGUGUGUCAUGGUGGACUAUUUCACAAAAUGGUUUGAAGUCUAUCCUCUGAAAAGAAAGAGAGCAGAGGAAGUGACUGAAUGCAUCAUGGACUUUUUUUUACAAGUACGGUGCGCCAAAACGUAUUCUGACUGAUGAUAAAUUCUUUGCCCCGAUCAAAGUAAGUUGAAAUCUGAGACGUGAUGUAAGGCCUACCUUAUUUUUUUUUUUACAUAGCAACAAUAGAAAAAGAAGAGCCUCUAUUACAGAAAUAUGUACAUUUUUCAUUUUCCUAUCCUACUCAUUUCAGGACAACCUGGAC